ACUGAGAUUUACAAAAAAAAAUGCACGGAAAAGUUCGACUAAAAAUGAAAUUAGUUGCUAUGUACUGGUUGACUCUGGUCUACCGAGCAAUUAUAUGCACUAACAAGAAAUUUAAAAUUUUUACUGUAUGAAUGUGGACAACCUUCACUGAUUUUUUCACCAUCGGGAAGCUUUCUGGUCAUGUCUAGCUC